rnacentral:lncRNA from 1 species
UACCCGUUCUCAUAUCAGGUUUAAAUCUUGGAUUAAACAUGUUAACCUACCUUUCAAAUGUUGGUCCCACUACAACAAAAACGGUCUAUAGCGAUAUUUUUAAAUGUCGGUACAGGUCAAAAAAAGUGCUGCUGGCUAAAUUACUGACACUUUUAAAAAGUGUUGCUAUAUGUGGGGUCGCUAGGUAUAUAGUGAUAGUUAAAGAGUGUUGCUAUAAUCUAAAAAGAGUGCUGCUAAUUUACUAAUACUUAUUUAAGCAUUAAGCAACCUCCAAAACUCUCUCUCGUUGGCUGCGGUGGCGGAGAAGGACGAGAGCGAAGGGCUCUUCGUCUAGAAUUUCAGUGGAUUGAGUGAGAGGAGAAUGGGAGAUGGUAAUCGAUUUUUUUUUUCUUUUCUGUUUGUAAUUCGGCCGAAUGGGCUGUGUGGGGUGGGUUGAGUAAAGUAACCUUUUAUUUUUGGUUGAAUUGGGCUUUAUAUUUAAGCAUUAAUAGAUUUUUUUUAAGUUUUGGCAUAAAUAGGACACUUACACAAAAGUGUCCCAAGCAUGUGUCCCUAUAACCUAAUUAUGUUGUAGUGUCCGAGCCCAAGGUUG